rnacentral:rRNA from 1 species
CCUGACGACGCAACGCCGCGUGGAGGAUGAAGGUCUUCGGAUUGUAAGCUCCUGUUGCCCGGGACGAAACGCUCCGACCUAACACGUCGGAGUCUGACGGUACCGGGUGAGGAAGCCCCGGCUAACUCUGUGCCAGCAGCCGCGGUAAUACAGAGGGGGCUAGCGUUGUUCGGAAUUACUGGGCGUAAAGGGCGCGUAGGUGGCCUGUUAAGUCGAACGUGAAACUCCCCGGGCUCAACCCGGGAACUGCGUCCGAGACUGGCAGGCUCGAAGUCCGGGAGAGGGAUGUGGAAUUCCAGGUGUAGCGGUGAAAUGCGUAGAUAUCUGGAGGAACACCGGUGGCGAAGGCGGCAUCCUGGACCGGUAUUGACGCUGAGGCGCGAAAGCCAGGGGAGCAAACGGGAUUAGAUACCCCGGUAGUCCUGGCCCUAAACGAUGAAUGCUUGGUGUGGCGGGUAUCGAUCCCUGCCGUGCCGAAGCUAACGCAUUAAGCAUUCCGCCUGGGGAGUACGGUCGCAAGGCUG